CUCCUUUUGAAGCUUCCAGUCUGUUAUUCGAACUCAAAUCAGCAUGACAGAGUGAUCUCCAGUCUUGAUACAGUGUGCAGCAUAGAGUACAUAGUCCUUUAGUCUCUGUGGAUCUGGUGGAGGCUGGUGAGGGCCACAGCACAGGGAGAGAAACUGUUCAGGUGGAGGCUGGUGAGGGCCACAGCACGGGGAGAGAAACUGUUCAGGUGGAGGCUGGUGAGGGCCACAGCACGGGGAGAGAAACUGUUCAGGUGGAGGCUGGUGAGGGCCACAGCACGGGGAGAGAAACUGUUCAGGUGGAGCCUGGUGAGGGCCACAGCAAGGGGAGAGAAACUGUUCAGGUGGAGGCUGGUGAGGUCCACAGCACAGGGAGAGAAACUGUUCAGGUGGAGGCAGGUGAGGGCCACAGCAUGGGGAGAGAAACUGUUCA
ensembl:lncRNA